CAAUAGCGUAUAUUAAAGUUGUUGCGGUUAAAAAGCUCGUAGUUGGAUUUCUGCUGAGAACGACCGGUCCGCCCUCUGGGUGUGUAUCUGGCUCUUUCUUGGCAUCUUCUUGGUGAACGUUGCUGCACUUGACUGUGUGGAGCGCUACCCAGGACUUUUACUUUGAGGAAAUUAGAGUGUUUCAAGCAGGCAUACGCCUUGAAUACAUUAGCAUGGAAUAAUAAGAUAGGACCUCGGUUCUAUUUUGUUGGUUUCUAGAGCUGAGGUAAUGAUUAAUAGGGAUAGUUGGGGGCAUUCGUAUUUAACUGUCAGAGGUGAAAUUCUUGGAUUUGUUAAAGACGGACUACUGCAAAAGCAUUUGCCAAGGAUGUUUUCAUUGA
rnacentral:rRNA from 1 species